rnacentral:rRNA from 1 species
UACGAAGGGGGCUAGCGUUGCUCGGAAUCACUGGGCGUAAAGCGCACGUAGGCGGAUCUUUAAGUCAGGGGUGAAAUCCUGGAGCUCAACUCCAGAACUGCCUUUGAUACUGGGGAUCUCGAGUCCGGAAGAGGUGAGUGGAACUCCGAGUGUAGAGGUGAAAUUCGUAGAUAUUCGGAAGAACACCAGUGGCGAAGGCGGCUCACUGGCCGGUACUGACGCUGAGGUGC